rnacentral:ribozyme from 1 species
UGCCCAGCAACUCCUAUCCCUACCUCCUCGUGGUACUGGCCGGGGUACGAGUAACCUUAGACAAGAUUUUGUAAUCCACCCCGGUGGGAGCUUUGGUCGUAUGCUGACAGGGAAGG